rnacentral:lncRNA from 1 species
AUUUAACCAAAUGCUUAAGGCGACCUAUUUCACAAGGGAUAGGACCAACCAAGUAAUUGUUUGACAAGUUGAGGCUCACGAGAUUACCCAUCUCCCCUAUUUGCCUUGGUAUUUCACCAGAGACUUGGUUUUCAUGGAGCAUGAGGAGACGCAGUUUUGUUAGAUUUGCUAAAACAGGUGGAAUUGAACCUCUUAUCUGAUUGUCAUGCAGGAGGAGAGCAUGGAGUUCUUUGAGGAGCUUAAUAUUCGCAGGUAUGCUCCCGGUAAGCUCGUUGUGCGAGAGCUCAAGGGCCACCAAGGUCCUCAACGCCGAGAAGUCAAGAGACUCAAGUGUCCCUCUCAGCCGCAUCCCCGGCAGGGAGAUGGCGGUGAUCAUCGGCCGGCACCCACCGCACCGGAUGCCCCGCCAACGGCAAGGUGCUGACAUGUUGCCCCAGGAUUGCAGGGCGUCUUGGCUUUGCGGACUGAGGCUGGCUUUCCAGGCAAGAAGUGCCCCUGUUUGUUGUUCAACUGAUGGCAGCGCACCAGCGGCUGACACGAGUGCGGUGGUGCACAUCGUCAGUAUGGUGAGAGAAGCAAGUAUUUUGGAAGAUAAGAGCUCCAUGGCUAGGAUAGGAAUCGGUUCUGCUUCUGUGUCUCUUGGAGGGUUCACCUUAAAUUGUUGCACCAAUUAUUGCCGCUGUCUCGUUCCCUGCAGGCAAGAUAGUCUAAAGGUUUGUAUGACUGAUUAACCACCCCCUCCCUUUCUGUCCCUCUCGUUCUUUAGUUAAUCUUCAUGAUGAAGAUUUGACCCGCUCUCUGAUACAUUUGUUUCUCUAUUUUUUUUAAGAGGUCAUGGCACCUGUUCAUUCAAAGUCAAAUGUACAGAACCCAAACAUGUACGCACCCAGCAGUAAAAACCAGGAAGACAGGUGCCACAGCACAAACUGCAUAAAGAGCCUCAACAGUAGAAAUAUAUAUAUAAACACGCCCCUAGAAGACCUGGUGCAAAGAAGACCAGUGCGGCCGGAGAAGAGAGGGGCAGCGGUGGAUGGAUAUGUGGUUACUGGCCACGUCGCUCCAUUAAUUGGUGGGUGAUAAAUCAAAACACGAGAUACGGCUGCUGCUUCAAACCCGGCCGUGCCAUGGGCAGGAAGACUUUCGUGCUUGUGCUAGCGGUUGAUUAUGGAACAAGCUUCAUAUUGGGACUCCCUAGUCUCCAAAUACGGAGGCUACGAAGUCAUUAUGGAAAGAGCUUUAUAAAUUAUACCGUCAGCACCUAUAUUGGCGACUUUGCUAGAGUUUCAUUUUGGCCUAAAAUCAUCAUAUUGACAAUUAUUAUGGCGAUCGGGACAUAUGGCAACUUUGGUAGAGUUGCUCUUAGCGAAAUAACUUGGAUGAGAAGCAUCUGAGUUGUCCUCUUUGAGGACACAAAUUAUGAUUCAUAUUUAGACCAUCCUAUCUGAAAUAGCAUUUACUCAUAUCUAUUACAAAUUUCCUGUUCAUUUGAUUUUGAUUGGCAAAGGAAUUGAAUGUUCACCAAUAAUUGUCACUCAUGUGAAUGAUCAUUUCCUUGUAUAUAUAUGCCACCCCAUGGGAUACUAUAUAUCGUUCUAUUCAUUUUAACAUUCUGGUAGCACUAGCCUAGUACACUAGAUAUGUGGUGAUGAAAUUAUCAAAUUGAGCGGAGAAUGAGAGAAGAAUUAGAAGGUGUUACAACAUGCAUGUGGGAACGAGAGACAUCCGGAAUAGCCACACGAGUAAUAACUUUAGGUGGGUCAGAGGCCAUGGGCGAUGCUUGACCAUUAAGCUAAAUAGUAUGUUUUUAUUUCAACAUUGAACCACCAUUAGAGCGCUCCUUUGGAGCUUUAGGGCGUGUUCGGAGACCCUCCCGCUCCUGACUCCGCUCCCGGAGCAGUCGGAGCGGUAGUCUAAACUUAUGGAGCGGGGAAACAGAGACUCCGCAGAUCCAUGGAUCUGGCGGAGCUGGAGGUUUUCCGAACAGCUCCUUAGUCGCACUGUAGCCCCCUCUUAUCCCUAGCACCGACGCUCUGCUUCAUCAACUGCGAGCCCAUGCGCUUCCCUUGACGUGAGUGCAUACUGGUGGUCAUGGAGGCUAGCUGGCGCGCCGACAUCUUCUUCACAAGGGCAACCCACACUGCUACGUUUCAUUGCUUGUCGUAGCCACACAUAUGUUGAGCUUGUGACAAUUCUGUUGUGUGCCUUCAAACACCACUCUUUUGUGAGAUUUCGUAAAACAGGUGCAAUUGAACCUCUUAUCUAAUUGUGAUGUAGGAGGAGAGCAUGGAGUUCCUUGAGAAGCUUAAUAUUUACGGGAAUGUUCCUAGUAAGCUCGUUGUGCGAGAGCUCCAUGGCCACUGAGGUCCACAAAGGGGGACUAAAUUGCCAAAAACGAUCACAAUUACGUGUGCUAGUGCCAAAAACCACCGUUUUCGUGAAAAUUUGCCGAAAACAUCAAUUUUGAGUAAUUAUUUGCUGAAAACACUAAAAACUAUGCUUGAUCCCGUUUUGACGUAAAAGCUGGCAGUGGGACCCGCCCAUCAGGGCCACCCGGCAUGGGAUAACGGUUCGGGGAGACGACAAUCGUUGCUGCCAUAUGGGGUCCAUCUGUCAUACAAAGGAAAAAAAAUAAAAAUAAAAACAUGAAUAUAAAGAAAAAUAUAGCUCUUUUUUCUCACCCAGGAGCCAACAACCAAUCUUAUAUACGUAAAACAAAAGAUCAGGUCGGGAGGCCAGCAGUGCCUGGAUCCCCGCAGCGGACCGCGCGCGGGGUGGCCAACAACGACAUUGGUCGGAGACCCGUCAGCCAGCAAGCGUCGCCGCUCGGACAAGCUGCUUCCCCGUGCCUCCUUCCUUCUCCUCCUAUCCUCUUCCCCCGGCGCCUAGCUGCCAUGGUGCGCCGCCAUUCACGACAUGCCACCGUGCAUCAACUCCGAGGCCUCCUUGAUGCAGAGGCAUUCAUGGAGGGGUUCGCCGGAGCGGGAUGUGGAGCGGAUGAGGUUGCAGGAGGGGCUCAUGGCGCCCGUGUCCACGAUGACGGCGACGAGCUCCGGCAGUUGGAGGCAUGCACGCACCUGCCGGUGAGGCUCCUCAUCAUGUUGGCAUCGUCGAUGGGGCGCACUCUACCGACGUGGUCGUUGGGAGGACGGGGCAUCCUGGAGCAUGAGUGGAAGCUCGCGACCAUGGCAUGGCCAUCACCUCCUACAACAGUGGGGCUCGCCGGAGUGGGAUCCUGCUGAUCGGCACAACUUAUGGGCCUUGCUUCAUAAACUUACUAGAGUACUACUUUAUUAGCCGAUUACCACCGCAAGCUGCGGAAUCAAGGGGUGUGACUUGUGGACCGAAUACCUUCCCAGUGUCCCCAAAUGCGAGGAGAAAGGAACUGAAAUUUUCGUCUCGCACUAGUGGUUGAGUAUGGAGUGAGGCCCAUACUAGGGUUCCCCAGCCUCCAAAUGGAGGGCUACGUGGUUGUUUAUGAAGCAAGGUCCAUAAGUUAUGCCGAUCGACACCCAUAUGACGGCUUUGCUAGAGUGACAUUUUGAUAAAAAAUGACCGUAUUUGGCAGUUAUUAUGGCAGUCGCGACUACUAGAGUUUUUGUUAGCCCAUACAAGAGAUGUGCGUAGCUCACUUGGAUUAGAGCAUCUGAGUUGAACUCUCCGAGGACACAAAAUAGGAUUCAUAUUUAUAAUGUCCUCUUUGAAAUAUCAUUUACUAGUCUAUCCAUUACAAGUUUUUAGUUCACGUGCAUUCGACUGGCAAAAUAAUUGAAUGUUCACCAACUGUCGUUCAUGUGAAUGAUGCUUUCCUUGUAUAUAUAUAUGUCACUCCAUGGACCAUUGUUUUUCUAUUCAAGUUAGCAUGUCGGCAGUACUAAACUAGUACACUAAUACGUGGGAUGCCAUGAUCAACUUGAGCAGAAAAUGAGAGGAGAAUUACAUUACAUAGAUGUUACAACAUGUACGUGGGAACGAGAGACAUCUGGAAUAGCUAGGAGAGAGAUAUCUUUAGGUUGGUCAGACACCAAAGGAGAUGCUUCACCAUUAAGCUCAAUAGUAUGGUUCGCUUUCAACAUUGCACCUCCAUCACAACAUGCUUUUCGAGCUAUAGUCGCCCUGUAGCUCCCUCUUGUCCCCUGACAUCGACAGUCUGCUUCAUCAACCGCAAGCCCAUGUGCUUCUCCUUGACAAGUGUGCGUACUGACGGUCAUGGCGGCUUGAUGGUUUGCAGACAUCUUCUUCAGAAGGACAGCGCGCACUGCUAUGUCCCAUUGCUUGUCAUAACGCCAAGUAUGUUGAGUUUGUGAUGAUUCUCUAUGUGCCAUACAAAACCACUCUUUUGUGAGAUUUGCUAAAACAAGUGGUAUUGAACCUCAUGCAGCAGGAGAGCAUGGAGUUCUUUGAGGAGCUUAAUAUUCGUGGGAAUGUUCCCAGUAAGCUCGUCGUGCGAGAGCUCAAGGGCCACCAAGGUCCUGAGAGGGAAGAAGGCAAAGGACUCCAGUGUCACUCUCAGCUGCAUCCCCGGGAGGGAGAUGGCAGUGAUCGCUGACAGGCGGCCACCCCACCGGAAGCCCUGCCAACGGCAAGGUAAAAUACAUGUUUCCCAAGGAACGCAGCGCUGCAGCAGCUGAGAUGAGUAUGAUCUGGGAUGGUAGACAUCAUCAGUAUGGUGAGAGAGGCAAGUAUUUUGGAAGACAAGGCUUCCAUGGCUAGGAUAGGAAUUGGUUCCGCACCAGUAUUUCCGCUAUCUCUUUCCGUGUAGGCAUGAGAGUCAAAACAUUUAUACGACUGAUUGGUUACCCCUCCCUUUCUAUCUCUCUCGUUCCUUAAUUAAUCUUCCUGAUGAAGAUAUGACCCGCUCUCUGAAGCAUUUUUCCUCGUAGUAGCUGAAUGUGUACUCUCUGGGACAGAUUAUGACACAUGUUCAUUCAAAGCCAAAGUUACAGAAUCCAAAUAAGUACGCACCCAGAAAAAGAAACCAGAAAGAAGGUAACACAACACAAACUACAGAAAGGAUCUCAACAAAAGAAAGAGAAUUACAAACACAUCCCUGGAGGAUCUUGUGCAAAGUGGACCAGCCGUCGGAGAAGAAAGGUAUGAGAUACUGCCGCACCUAGGUUCAGAGGAACACGAUUAGACAUGAGCAUUGCUACUUUCUGAGCCAAUUAAACGGUUCAUCACAAGCGGGAGAACCGAGCGGUGUUGUUCGUUGGCCCGGGACCUUCCCCACAAAGACCACCGUCUUCCAGUGGCGAAGCUACAUGUAGACAUCGCUACUUUUUGAGCCUAUAAAACGGUCCACCGCAAGCGGCAGAACCGAGGGGGUGUGAAUCGCCGGCCAGGGACUUUUGCAGCGUCCGUCGAACCGCCAUCUACAUGUAGUUUGUGAUGUCUUUGAGCUGUUGUAAACAUAUGUUCUCUUUGAAAUGUCAUUUACUACUAGC